rnacentral:rRNA from 1 species
GACGAACCGUGCGAACGUUGUUCGGAAUCACUGGGCUUAAAGGGCGCGUAGGUGGUCUGUCAAGUCGGGGGUGAAAUCUUUCGGCUCAACCGGAAAACUGCCUUCGAUACUGACAGGCUUGAGGGAGGUAGGGGUUGCGGGAACUACCAGUGGAGCGGUGAAAUGCGUUGAUAUUGGUAGGAACGCCGGUGGCGAAAGCGCGCAACUGGAUCUCUUCUGACACUGAGGCGCGAAAGCUAGGGGAGCAAACGGG